GUAGCAUUAAGGACGCGUUUGCAGUUUGAGCAAAAUUAAGCUGUUUUUCGGUACAUUUUGCGACUAAACCAAGCCAAAUCAAAUAUGACAAAUAACUCCUAGUUAUAGCUUGGGUCUUCAACUAUAAACGCGAGGAAGGUUUUUGUUGAAAAAAUAAAUUUUUGAUAUCAUAAAAAAGUUAUUUCGUAACCCCUUUCUACAAAAUUCAUGAUUCCGGGUCAAGUUUAGGUACAAUUUUCUACUAAGAAUAAAGUAAUUUAAUAUUGAUUUAUUUUUUGUAAAUAGGCAAACAUAGUCAAGAUUAAAUGUGAGGAAAAAAAAUACAGUAUUGUGCUAUGAAUAAGGUUAGAAAAAAUAAAAACAAAACCAAUUUUUUUCACAUAUUUUGCUACUAACGAUGAGUCUUAACAGCUUGAAAUAGGGGUUAUUUUAUUUGUAUUCCUUCCGACCCACGAUUGUGCGAAAGCCUCAUUCUGAGUCAGUCUGCGCUCGGCCGCCGUCGUGAGAGGACACUGUAUCGCUCGUUUCCAGCUGCUCGUGUUGAAAAGAUCGCUGUAUAAAUACAAAAUAUUCGACUAACCAAAUUUGAUCCUUCUAAGAUGCCGAGAAGUCGAACGUUUGGCAAAAGCUCUCGUAAACAAGUGCUUUCCAGAAAAAAUGCAUUGGAAAAUAUAAGACGACUUCGAGAAGUGAGUCGCAAUUCUAGUGACAUAAGUGAGGUGCAUUCAGAAGAAACAGAUUGUAGUACUUCCAAUAACAAUGACUUGGAGACAUCUUACACCGCUGUGGAUGAAGAAAAAGUAACCUAUCAGAUUUCAGGAAGAAGGCUUAUUGAAAUGGCUUAUUUUAUGGAGCAAUUACAAGGAAUCAGCAAUCAUAAGUCUAUGUUUAAUUGUAAUUUGAGUACAAUUGAACUAUUGAGUGAAAAAAGGUCUGGGCUUCACUCGACCUUUUCAAUUAAAUGCAAAAUGUGUGGUGCUGAAUUCACGUUAGAAUCAUCCAAAAAAACUGAAAAUAAAAUGGACGUGAAUGAAGAAAUUGUCGCUGGUAUAAUGACGAUUGGUGCUGGGGUUACACAGCUUAAUACUGUUUUGUGUCAUGUAAAUAUGCCACCAAUGUCAGUACGAUUGUACCAAGCUAAGCAUGACAUAAUAAGUCGGUGGUGGAAAAGGCUGCGCAGCACUACAUGAUCGAGGCGGGUAAAGAGGAGAAAGACAAUGCUUUAGCUAUUGGAAGUGUAAAUACAGAUGGGUUAGCUAUGAUACCUGUAUCGGGUGAUGCAUGUUGGUCCAAGCGCUCUUAUGGAACCAAUUACAGUGCUUCCUCCGGUGUUGGUGCAAUCGUAGGCAUGCACUCAAAAAAAGUAUUAUAUUAUGGUGUCAAAAAUAAAUUCUGCAAUAUCUGUGCACGAGCAGAAAAUAAAGGGCAUUACCUAGGAAACAUGCUUGUUUUAAAAAUUUUCAAGGUCCUUCUACCGCUAUAGAAGCAGUUGUAAUAACAGAGGGCUUCAAAAAGUCCAUUGGUAUGCAUGGACUUAUCUACCACCAGUUUAUAGCAGAUGGUGAUUCAAGCACUUAUGCUAGCAUUAGGAACGCAAGGCCUUAUGAUAACAUAACUGUGGGUAAAAUCGAAUGUAAAAAUCAUUUACUAAGAAAUUACUGCAAAGGCCUGCUAGCAAUUUGUAGUAAUACUUCUUUCCACAUAAGGGGCCGAAAGAUUCUGAAAGAAAAUUAUUUGCGUAUACGUUGGGGCAUUGAUAGUAGCGUCAAAUAUUGGUCCAAUAAAAACGUUGCUUUCGAAGAAAAGGCAAGA